GAGAAAACAUCUUCACUCAUGAGUCCU
rnacentral:piRNA from 1 species